UACGUAGGGAGCAAGCGUUGUCCGGAAUCAUUGGGCGUAAAGCGCGCGUAGGUGGCCCCAUAAGUCCGCUGUGAAAGUCAAAGGCUCAACCUUUGAAAGCCGGUGGAUACUGUGGGACUAGAGUACGGAAGAGGCGAGUGGAAUUCCUGGUGUAGCGGUGGAAUGCGCAGAUAUCUGGAGGAACACCGGUGGCGAAGGCGGCAUCCUGGACCGGUAUUGACGCUGAGGCGCGAAAGCCAGGGGAGCAAACGGG
rnacentral:rRNA from 1 species